AACGAACGCUGGCGGCAUGCCUAACACAUGCAAGUCGAACGAGACCUUCGGGUCUAGUGGCGCACGGGUGCGUAACGCGUGGGAACCUGCCCUUAGGUUCGGAAUAACUCCCCGAAAGGGGUGCUAAUACCGGAUAAUGUCUUCGGACCAAAGAUUUAUCGCCUUUGGAUGGGCCCGCGUUGGAUUAGCUAGUUGGUAGGGUAAAAGCCUACCAAGGCGACGAUCCAUAGCUGGUCUGAGAGGAUGAUCAGCCACACUGGGACUGAGACACGGCCCAGACUCCUACGGGAGGCAGCAGUGGGGAAUAUUGGAAAGUGGGCGAAAGCCUGGUCCAGCAAUGCCGCGUGAGUGAUGAAGGCCUUAGGGUUGUAAAGCUCUUUUACCCGGGAUGAUAAUGACAGUACCGGGAGAAUAAGCGCCGGCUAACUCCGUG
rnacentral:rRNA from 1 species